rnacentral:rRNA from 1 species
UGGUGGAGUGAUUUGUCUGGUUAAUUCCGAUAACGAACGAGACUCUGUCCUGCUAACUAGGUUGUGUUUUCUCGGGUUGGUGUUUCUGGUGUUCCUUCUCGGGGCACCGGCCCAAUCCACUUGUGAACACAACACUCUUCUUAGAGGGACUGGCGGCUGUUAGCCGCACGAGAUAGAGCAAUAACA